rnacentral:rRNA from 1 species
AACGAACGCUGGCGGCAGGCUUAACACAUGCAAGUCGAACGCAUCGCAAGAUGAGUGGCAGACGGGUGAGUAACGCGUGGGAAUCUACCUAGUUCUACGGAACAACAGUUGGAAACGACUGCUAAUCCAGUAUACGCCCUAUGGGGGAAAUACUUUAUGGCAUUAGAGGAGGCCGCGUAAGAUUAGCUAGUUGGUGGGGUAAUGGCCUACCAAGGCGACGAUCUUUAGCUGGUCUGAGAGGAUGAUCAGCCACACUGGGACUGAGACACGGCCGAGACUCCUAGGGGAGGCAGCAGUGGGGAAUAGUGGACAGUGGGCGCAAGCAUGAUCGAGCCAGGCGGCGUGAGUGAUGAAGUCCUUAGGGUUGUAGAGCUCUUUCAGUGGGGAAGAUAAUGACGGUACCCUCAGAAGAAGCCCCGGCUAACUUCGUGCCAGCCGCCGCCGUAA